GAAACAGAGGGAGUGAGAGAGGGGACAUCAACACAACGUGAAGAAGAGAGUGAGACUGAGCGUUAUGGCAAAGGGGGAGUCUGUUAGUCAACGUACAGAAAAGGAGAGAACGGCCAUCAACAUUUUGAGGGAGGGAGAGAGCGCAGUGCGAAUCGCAGCGUGAGAUGGGAGGGAACAGCCAUCAACACGAGGGGCAAGCAGACCAUGCAAAAGAGAGAACGGGAGGACCUCCUUACUGUUGUGCCUCUUUACAAAGUUUGUUGCACAGUUUCAACGCAGAUGCUCUAUGCUGGCUCAGUGCAAGCGCUCAAUUUGGAGAUGGGAAAGAGUGCUGGCUGCUGGAAAAUGCUGGGCCCUUGACUUUCUCAUUGGGAGACCACAGACAGCAGGAUCAGUGAAAACUUCUCCUCACUGACAAUCAACACAAGCACACCUCAAGGAUGCAUGCUUGGUCCACUGCUCUACUCUCUCUGCACUCAUGAUUGUGUGGCUAGGAACAGCUCAAAUGCCAUUUAUUGAUUCACAGCAUUAUUAUUGAUAAAGUUUCAGAUGGCGAUGAGGAGGUGUACGGGAGUGAGGAACAUUGGGUAGAUGAGUAGUGUCACAAAAAUAACCUCACGUUUAGCAUCUGUACAACCGAGCAAUUGAUUGUGGACUUCAGGAAGGGGAAGUCAGGAAAACGCUCACCAGUCCUCGUCGACGGGUCAGCGGUAGAAAGGCUGAGGAGCUUCAGGUUCCCGAGUGUCAGGAUUUCAAAGGAUCUGUCCUGGGCCCAACACAUAGAUGCAAUCAUGGAGAAGGUGUGCCAGUGGCUAUGCUUCAUCAGGAGUUUAAGGAGAUCUGUUCUGUCACCAAAGACACUUGCACAUUUCUACAGGUGUCUAGUGCAGAAUAUUCUGAAUGGUUGUGUCUGCGACUGGAAUGGAGGCCCCAAAUCAAAGGUUUAAAAGAUGCUCCAGAGGGCUGUUGGCUCUGCCAGCUUUAUCACAGGCACAAACGUCUCCACUGUGGAAGACGUCCUCAAGAGACAUUGCCUCAAGAAGAUAGUGUCCAUCAUGAAGGAACCCUACCAUUUGGGACAUGUCCUCAUGACUACCACCAAAGAGAAGAUACAGGAACCUGAAGACAGGUUUAGAAACAGCUUCUUCCCCUCUGCCAUCCGAUAUCUGAAUGGUCCAUGAAUCAUCUGAAUCACAGUCAGGGGCUUCAACCAAGCUUGUUUGAAGAAAUUCCACUCAAUUACCAUCAGCAUAUAACCUGUAGCAUAGCAUCAGAGGUCGCAACAUAUAGACCACUGUUUCAAUAAGAUAAGUAAUGAUUACCCAUCCAUGCCCCAAACCACAUUUUGGUAAAUCAGAUCACUAGGCUGUCUUUCUCCGACCUGCAUACAAGCAGAGGCUAAAGAGCUCCAGAGAUUCGGACAAAAACAAGGCGGUUGCAGGAAGCAGAGGAAUGGCUACAGGAUUGCUUCAAGUCAGUGCACCGGGCCAUGUUAAAGGAUUCAUCUGUGGUCCUGAAUGGCAUGGACAUUAUAAAAAAAACAAUCGGAGAUGAGUGUGUCUGCACAAAAUUAUUCAGUCUUCCCCAGUCAGAAGCCUUGAAUGAACCAUGAGAUCAGUAAUCUGCUGAUGGCCAAAUCAGAGGCAUUCUAGUCUGAUGACCAAGAAAAUUACAAGAGGUCCAGGUACGAUCACUGGAAAACCACCUCAUGGGUGAAGUGCCAAUUCUGGACUAAACUUGAAUCAAUGAAGGAUACUUGACAGUUGUGGCAGGGCUUGAAUACUGUCACCUCUUCUAAGUGAAAUCAAGUGACAAAGGUGACAUCAGUGCUUCACGUCCUGAUGAGCUGAAUGCCUUUCGUGUUCACUUUGUCCGUCAAAACAUGGAGGAACCAUCAGGAAUGUCCACAUUUCCCAGUGAUUCUGGGACUUUAGUUUCUGAGGCCGAUGUGCAAGCAGCCUUGAGAAUGGUGAAUCCAUGAAAAGUAUCCGGCCCAUACGGAGUACCUGACCAAGUAAUAAAGACCUGUGCUGAUCUAUUGGCUGCAGUGUUACUGAGAUCUUUAACCUCUCGUUUUGAUAGUUCGUGCUACCUGCUUCAGGCAAGCUUCAUUUAUACCGGUGCCCAAGAGGAGCAUGGUGGCCUGUCUCAAUGAUUAUCACCCUGUAGCACUUAAAUCCAGAGUGAUGAAGUGUUUUGAGAGUGUUGUAAUGAAACAUUCCAAAUCCUGCAAAGAAACGACUUAACUCCAAUUUGCCUACCAGAGCAUCAGGAUCACAGCAUAUGCCAUCUCAUUGGCUCUUUAUUUAACCCUGGAACAUCUGAACAGCAAAGAUCUAUACACCAAGAUGCUCUUUAUUGACUACAGCUCAGCAUUCAAUACCAUCAUCCCCUUGAAACUAAUCGAUAAGCUCCAAGACUUUGGCCUCAGUACCUCCUUAUGCAAUUGGAUCCUUGAUUCCCUCACUUGCAGACCCCAGUCAGUUCAGAUUUGCCACAGUAUCUUCUCCAUGAUCUCCAUCAGCACAGAUGCACCACAAAACAGUGUGCUUAGUCCACUGCUCUACCCGCUCUACACUUAUGACUGUCUAAAGCACAGCUGCAAUGCCAUAUUCAAGUCUGCGGACUGUCACAGCCAGAAUUAAAGGUGGUGAUGAAUCAGCAUAUAGGAGGGAGAUUGAAAAUCUGGUAGAGUGGUACUGUAACAAUAACCUGUUACUCAAAGGCAGCAAGACCAAGGAGCUGAUUAUUGACUUCAGGAGAAGGAAACCGGAGGUCCAUGAGCCAGUCCUCAUUGGAGGAUGAGAGGUGAAGAGGGUCAGCAGUUUCGAAUUCCAUCAGGAAGAAGGUACAGGAGACUCAGGACCCAUACCACCAGGUUCAGGAACAGUCAUUACCCCUCACAGCCAUCAGGCACUUGAUCCAAAAGGGAUAACUUCAUUCAAAUUCAUUUGCCCAUCACUGAAAAGUUCCCACAACCCAUGGAAUCUUUUAAGGACUCUUCGUGUCACAUUCUUGACAUUUAUUGCUUAUUUAUUUAUUACUAUUUCUUUCUUUUUGUAUUUGCCUGCUUAUUGUCUUCUUCACUCUGGUUGAAUGUCCAAGCUGGGGUGGCAUUUCAUUAAUUCUGUUAUGGCUAUAAUUCUAUAGAUUUAUUGAAUAUGCCCACAAGAAAAUGAAUCUCAGGGUUGUAUAUGGUGACAUAUAUGUACUUUGUA